GACGAACGCUGGCGGCGUGCCUAAUACAUGCAAGUCGAACGCUGAAGAGAGGAGCUUGCUCUUCUUGGAUGAGUUGCGCACGGGUGAGUAACGCGUAGGUAACCUGCCUUGUAGCGGGGGAUAACUAUUGGAAACGAUAGCUAAUACCGCAUAACAAUGGAUUACACAUGUCAUUUAUUUGAAAGGGGCAGUUGCUCCACUACAAGAUGGACCUGCGUUGUGUUGGGUAGUAGGUGAGGUAAUGGCCCACCUAGGCGUCGAAACAUAGCCGACCUGAGAGGGUGGUCGGCCGCACUGGGACUGAGACACGGCCCAGACUCCUACGGAAGGCAGCAGUAGGGAAUCUUGGGCAAUGGGGGCAACACUGACCGCGCAACGCCGCGUGAGUGAAGAAGAUUUUCGGAUCGUAAAGCUCUGUUUUAAGUUAAGAACGGGCGUGAGACUGGAAAGUUCACACUGUGACGGUAGCGGACAAGAAAGCGACGGCUAACUACGUG
rnacentral:rRNA from 1 species